rnacentral:hammerhead_ribozyme from 1 species
AUCUAGCUGACGAGUCUUAAAUAGGACGAAACGCGCGUCCUGGAU